rnacentral:tRNA from 1 species
GCCCGGAUGGCGGAAUUGGUAGACGCAAGGGACUUAAAAUCCCUCGUCUGAAAGGACGUGCCGGUUCGACCCCGGCUCCGGGCA